rnacentral:rRNA from 1 species
GACGAACGCUGGCGGCGUGCUUAACACAUGCAAGUCGAACGGAAAGGCCCUGCUUUUGUGGGGUGCUCGAGUGGCGAACGGGUGAGUAACACGUGAGUAACCUGCCCUUGACUUUGGGAUAACUUCAGGAAACUGGGGCUAAUACCGGAUAGGAGCUCCUGCUGCAUGGUGGGGGUUGGAAAGUUUCGGCGGUUGGGGAUGGACUCGCGGCUUAUCAGCUUGUUGGUGGGGUAGUGGCUUACCAAGGCUUUGACGGGUAACCGGCCUGAGAGGGUGACCGGCCACAUUGGGACUGAGAUACGGCCCAGACUCCUACGGGAGGCAGCGGUGGGGAAUAUUGCACAAUGGGCGGAAGCCUGAUGCGACAACGCCGCGUGCGGGAAGACGGCCUUCGGGUUGUAAACCGCUUUCGCCUGUGACGAAGCGUGAGUGACGGUAAUGGGUAAAGAAGCACCGGCUAACUACGUG